AUAUAUAUAUAUAUAUUUAUUACCAUAUGACUUGCGAAAAACCGCGAAUCACAAAAGUCGAGCGAGGGAGACGCUCUGCAAUUGACAGUUGGCAUCCCUUCAUGUCGCGAGCCGAGUGAACAGGCGAAGCUGCGAUCGACGAAUCAGGCAUCGGCGUGAAGUUGCACAUUAGUUCAAAUUUUUCACAGGAUUUAUCAAGUAACGGAAUAUGGCGGAUGUGCUGUGCUCGCGAACGGUCGUCCGUUUAUCUCCGCGAUUUGCGACGUGUAUCGCGCGAAUAUGAAUAUAUAAGUGUCGGGAAGUGUCGUGACAUAUCAGGCGAUUAUCGGUAUCGCGUUAAUUCCGCUCUGUGAAGAAAUGACAAGGAGCAGAGAGAGAGAGUGUGGGAAGGAGGAAGAGGACACAGAUCGUUCGACAGUUAAUCCGUAUUUCGCCCGAUCGUAAUUAGUGUCGUUGUGUGUGUGUGUGUUACGUGACUGUCAAAAUAUGAGUGAGUGCAUAGCGAGUUGAAGAAAUGAAGGAGUCAACGACGACGUGGUCCAAGUCGUUCGUUGGAAAAGGACGGCGUCGUGUAGCUCCAUCUUCGUCGCUCCAACGGAUGUCUUCCACCGCAGAUGCAGAUUGAAGAGUUUCGACGCGCGUCGCAGUUUGAGGCCGAACGCGGCGCCGCUACAAAUCCUUCGAGCUGAAUUUACGAUUUUAAUUCGGGAUAGUCACCGAGAUGAGUCCAAGCGGAUCCGUACCAUGUAUCCUGACCAUAUUGCUUUUCAUUAUGGCCCGCGGUGUGCCUUCGGACCACCGACGUCGCUGCAAUUAAAACAACGGCCGUGCUCGAAUAAAAUUUCUCGAUACGUAAAAUUACU